UUUGCCAGGAAUACUUCAUGUUUGCAUCUCGAUGUUCCUGUUUAAGUCUACACACUCGAUAUAUCUCAUUAUAUACUAUUUCUGUCUACAUCUGACAAAAUGUUGACGUGUCAAAUUCAUUAAAUUCACUCGGUAACAUAAUGUCCAACAACUAUAUAUGUUUUUUCCUGCUCUUUUUUCAAUGGUGGAUGAUGGCCGUCUUUAGCUGUUAUAUUUCACAUGACAAAUUUCAUUUCUUAUUAUUUGGUUUACGACUUAUUCCCACGAUUGAUUCAAUAUGGUAUUAUAUUGGCUUUUAAAUUAUUUUACCAUAUUUGGUAAUAGAUUAAUACAUGCAAUGACUUCUAUUGUGAUGAUUUUGCCCCCAACAAGCCAUACAAACCCUCAAUGUGGACUGAAGCUUGGAGCAGUUGGUUCAGAGAGUUUGGAGGCACUAUUCACGAGCGUCCAGAUUAGUUCGAGAGCCAAAAUAUGGUCAUCUGAAAGAACUCCACAGAGCAAUUAAAUUGUGCGAAAAGGCUUUACUUUCAGCUAAUCCAACUAUUACUUCAUUGGGAACAU